GCGCGGGUGGCGGAACUGGCAGACGCGCAAGAUUCAGGAUCUUGUGGGGAAACCUCGUGCGGGUUCAAAUCCCGCCCCGCGCA
rnacentral:tRNA from 1 species